UACGGGGGGGGCAAGCGUUGUUCGGAAUUACUGGGCGUAAAGGGCUCGUAGGUGGCCAACUAAGUCAUACGUGAAAUCCCUCGGCUUAACCGGGGAACUGCGUCUGAUACUGUUUGGCUUGAGUUUGGGAGAGGGAUGCGGAAUUCCAGGUGUAGCGGUGAAAUGCGUAGAUAUCUGAAGGAAUACCAGUGGCGAAGGCGGCCUCCUGGAUCAACACUGACGCUGAGGUGCGAAAGCGUGGGGAGCAAACAGG
rnacentral:rRNA from 1 species